AAUAACCUUAUUUUUCAUUUUUCCAUGUCCAACGUUUGACCAUUCGUCUUAUGAAAUUUUUUUGCGAUUAAUAUUUUUAUUAUUACUAGAUGAUAAAAUAUGAAUAGUACUUUAUACGUGACUAACUUUUGUAGGUUUUUGCACAAAUUUUUUAAAUAAGACGAAUGAUCAAACGUUGGAUAUAGAAAAAC
rfam:Oryza brachyantha chromosome 3, whole genome shotgun sequence.